rnacentral:rRNA from 1 species
CAGUCGCCGCGGUAAUACGAAGGGUGCAAGCGUUACUCGGAAUUACUGGGCGUAAAGCGUGUGUAGGUGGUUGUUUAAGUCUGUCGUGAAAGCCCUGGGCUCAACCUGGGAAUUGCGAUGGAUACUGGGCGACUAGAGUGCGGUAGAGGAUAGUGGAAUUUCCGGUGUAGCAGUGAAAUGCGUAGAGAUCGGAAGGAACAUCUGUGGCGAAGGCGACUAUCUGGGCCAACACUGACACUGAGGCACGAAAGCGUGGGGAGCAAACAGGAUUAGAUACCCCUGUAGUCCCUGUCUCUAUACA